rnacentral:sRNA from 1 species
CAGACUAGGCCCCGCGCGAUCCGUUUCGCAUAGGGCCCCGCAAAUGCUAGGGCCGGCCCUGUGCCCAAGUGUGUGGUUUCAAGGGUUGGCUUUAGACACAAAGUCGUCUUUUCAAUGGCUUUCAUUUCUAUACCCAACAUUGCCUCUAAACUACUCGGAGGUUUGAUAUCCAAAUGAAGUGACAGACAGUUCAGUUUCAUACAUUUGGCUUAUAAAACGUUCGUUACAAAUGACGUAAUGGAAUGUUUCAUUCCCUGCCGGAACUAGUGAAGUCAAAAAUCGACAUUACUUUAUUUAUGUGUGUGCGUGUGUUGGUGGGGAACAAAAUGACUCCAGUUUGAAAUGUAAAGACUGUAGUUAAUGAUAAUGUGUAGCACAAUUUUAAAACGACUUCAUCUGUAUUAACAUGUAGACCUUUGUUCUAAAUUCUAAAUCAAACAUUAACAUUCCUAAAAAUUGUCACAUUAAAUUUAAGGGCCUAUUAAAAGCGUGAGUGUGUGUUGGAUGGUGGGAUGUAUAGUACGGUGUGUGGAGAUGUGUUCUAAAUAAGGGACGCCACUAGAUCUCUGACUGUCAAAAUGUAAAAAAAAAAAAAAAUAAUUGUAAAGAGUUGCGACUAGUAAUGUUUCUUUCCAACUGUCCCUAGGGAAGACUUCUUUAACUUCCGUUACUUCUAUAAUUGACGGGUAAAAAGUCUGUGUAGUGCGGGUGCAUUACUAUAUGCUUGGAUGCAAAGGGGGAUUCAAAUUUGUUUUAAAAUGUGCUUUACCGCCCUUUCAUUUGAGGGAUGCGAAAAAAAAAGUGGGGUGACCUGAAAGUUCGUGAUUGGAAAUGAGAGCUUUUCAUUGGAGGAUGUCAAAAAAUUAUGUGAUACUACUAAAUAUAUAAUGACCAAAAAGUGUUGUUUUUUUUUGGGGAGGGAGGCGUUUUAUUUCAAAGUAGUGAGUGUAUUAUGUGUGUGUGUGUAUUAUGUGUGUGCGGCGUUCUAAUGCUGGCAGACAAGAAGGCUAAAACUAAUGGACCUAUAGUUUGGUGAUUCAGCCGCAUAAUUCACCAGAAUAUCUACCAAUCUUUACAUCUCCCUCUUAUAAUUCACCAGUAUAUCUACCUAUCUUUACAUCUCCCUCUUAUAAUUCACCAGUAUAUCCACCAAUCUUUACAUCUCCCUCUUAUAAUUCACCAGUAUAUCUACUAAUCUUUACAUCUCCCUCUUAUAAUUCACCAGUAUAUCUACUAAUCUUCACAUCUCCCUCUUAUAUUGCACCCCUUUAUUUUCAUGAAAACAUUCCCUAACUGGAAAGGAAUUUGUGUUCUCUCUUUGGACACACUGAAGCAUACCAUUGCUCACCCUAGCCUGUCUACCCAAGACUAUGACGUCCGGUCCCGGUCACCGUUGAGGAGAUCAUUGAUCACACAGCCAUCCAUGGCCAAGUGCCGCAGUCGUGUGACACGAUCCAUAGCGCCGAAAGAGAGAGGUUUGAUAUUUGUGCCCGUAAUGGGUUGACUCAUUAGUGCUGCUCCGCGGGAGUUUCCUCGCCCAGCCGUUCGUUGGACGAUUGAGUGCAAUUAUUUCCCGAGCGUGGCCUUCUGCCUCUCGCCGUAUGACAUCAACUCACGAAUGCAAAUCAAAAGGGGACAAGAAAAGAUUUACGGAUAGGUUUUCAUUCAGAGUGAAGAUUGUGUUCCGCCCCUGUGAUUGGAUGUAAAGUGGUGCCAGUGAUCAGCUUGUUGAAGAACUUUUGUUUCUGUGGGAAGAACGCUGUGUAGUUCCGUUCAUAAUAGAUCCGAGUGUUACUUAUAUUCAACACAGACACUGGCUUAUUGUGUGUGUGUGUAUAUCGUAUUUAAAAAGUUGUGAGUUGGUUCUAAAUGCUCACUCAGAGAAAGAUGUGAUUCUACUUUGAGAUCUAGUGUAUACUGUGGAAGGAAGUCAAGAGAAAUGGGAGUUCACUAGUGAUUGUCUGCAGUUACGUUCCAAUCACCCGCCAUCCUUUCACACGCAAUCGCAGAUAAGGCAUAUAGUAGAUAUCUCUGGUAGAACGCAGCUAAGAUUUCUGUUGUAUCAGUGAUUACAUACAUGCAUGGUGGUGAUAUAGCUUUUGUACGCGACAACAUUCACUGCAUUGAAGUUCAUACAGGAUUACAAAGUGUUGGAUUGUAACUGAUUUGAAAGCCUUUUUUUUUCCUACGUUGCACAGCCAAGAAAUAAUGUAUGUGUUUAAAGUGUUGGCGAUAUAGAAGUACAGUGUGUGUUCGGUGGUGUAGUUUUAUUUAUUUGUUUGCUUUUCUUGGAUUUAGUCACAAUUAUUGUUUCUUAUGCUGGAUGUGGUCUAUAGAGUACUGAGCAGCCAUGGGAAAUAAGCUACGCAAAUUGAGAGAUUCUCUUUUUAACUCUCCUGACCAGAAGGAGCCGAGCACUGUGUCCGAGACUGGGCAGUACCGAACUCUCGAACCUUCGGGUGACCAAGUUCAGGGCUUUAACGAUACACCAAAUGACCUGAGCAACUGUCAGCAGUCCUCGACUGACCAGAGGGGGGAAAACCAAGCGACGGAGCAAGAGCCGCAGACGGCGCCGGUCGCCGAGGACGUGAACCCAAGCCAAGAUGUCGACCAAGGUGUGGAGGCCGGCCUCAGAGGUAGUGACGCCCCUCCUGCUUCUGUUGACCAGCCGUCUAAUAAAUCUGUGGUAAGCUGAACUUAUAAUUUCUUCACUUGUUCUGUUUAAGCAUUAAUUUGAGCUCUUUCAGUACAGAUGACACACUAGCGUAGACACUGUGUAGACUGUAUUCUUAAAGUCUCCCCCUCACCUGUACACGUCAGGCAGUAACCUACAUUACACUUACUCUCUAGCAUCUUAUCUAUCACGUUAACUGUGUAACAUAACUGUAGUCCGGGAAGAUUUGGUAGUUACUGUCUUCCAUUUCCUGUAAGCUCCUAAAGCUAAGAUUUAGUUGAACUCUAUUCUUUAUCGCCUUAAAUGCUUAACUCUUUCCACGAAUAAAAGCCUCUAAUGAAAUAAAUUAUACUUUGCUGUAUUUUAGUUUAUAGUCAUCGUUGGGGAACUAAAUGAAUCCAAAGGGAACAUAACAAAUUUGUAGUUUUACCUUCUUGAAUAACAUAGCCAACAGCCAACCAGCGUAUUCUUAUUAGGAUCAAGGGCAACUCAGGAACAUUUUAGUGGCUUUUUUUAAAAACAAAAGUGAAGAGGGCCCUCUGGUAACAGAAAAUAUUGACAGGUUGGUGCCCCCAUGCAAUUUAUGCAUUUCUUUCUUUCAGUUU